AUCUCCUAAGGAGGAACAAAAGGAAAAGAAGUAGAGAGUUGGAAAUAAGCAUAGAUUUUGAGAUUCUCGAAUAGGGCAACCUUUUGAAUUGUUAUUGAAUUUGUGGGUAGGCAAAAGACAACUUGGCGAACUGGAACAUCUUAGUAGCCAGAGGAAAAGAAAGCAAAAGUGAUUCACGUAGUAGUGUGGUGAGUGAAAUGGGAGCAGUCUAAACUAUGGAAAGGGGAUUGUGGAAUAAGAAUACAAGCAUUGUUUUGCCAAGCGAAGCAACUUGAAUGUUUCAUCCUAGAUGGUGAAAGUUUUAUAGCCAUUUUUUUUUAUAAUGUUUGUAAUGUCAACAAAGAACUUUAAAAU
rnacentral:ncRNA from 1 species